rnacentral:misc_RNA from 1 species
CAUGUUUUAUCACAAAUCUACUUCAUGUACGCCCUACACUUGUUUCUUCCGGUUUUAAUGCGCACGUGCUUAUUUUCACGUUCACUGUAGCUUGUUUAUAAAGGAAGUAUCAUUAUAUUUGUGCAGAGGCUUAUUACCAAACGUCAUAGUGGGUGUCACGUUUCUAUAAACUGUCCGGGGUAUUCUCAAAUGGUUUAGUUUCUAAACAUAAGGCUGAAGAAACGAACAAAGAUUGAAAAGAACCUGACAAGUGGAGGAUCACAUAGUCUCAACUCAUUUUAUAAUUAAUACGAAUAACAAUGCAGCAAUGCAAUGGAAUAACAGUUGAAACAGAACCAGUACUUAAUGUCGCUGGACCCAAAAAACGUUUCCAUCUAACGUUGACACAGGCCGAGGUUUUGGCUUGGAUUUCAUUCUGUCUGUGUUGCUGGCCUAUCGGUGGCUACGCUAUAAUAUGUGUAAAUAAGGCCAAGAUUGCUGAGGAUGACGAAGAAUACGAGAAAACUUUAGUUUGUGCCACAUGGCUAGGCAUUGUAGCCCUGGCUUUUGAUCUUGUCUUUAUUAUAGGAUUGGUUACACUCUUAAUCGUCAUUAAGGUAUAAGGGAGUUAUCUCCUUCGUGGACAAAUCGCAUAAUUGCGGACACUGAAAGGUAUCAAUGUUUCCUAUGAAAGAAUUUGGAACAUCUGACAUUUUAUAAAUUCGGAUUCGUUGACUAUCUGUUAAAAGCACUAACCUCCAGAUUGAAAGACAGCAGAAAAGGAAAAAAAAGUUAGAUAUCAGGAAAUCAUUGCUAUAUUUCUUAAGAAGGUUUAGAACCUUAGUUAAGGCAGAUGUAAACAGAUGCGAACUGGAUGGCGUUUGUAACGGUUACCGAAGUUAAACCGCCGUAAUUAUUACUGCCGUUUAAGCACGAAUUCAUUCGUGGUGUAUUGGUCAAAAAGGAAAUAAAGUUUUUUUUUCGAGGCAGCCUGGGUGCGACCCCGAUUCAGACAUUUGAUUUUUCUCUGAUUUCACUUUUUUUUUCAUUUGGAAACAAAGUAUCAUGUUCUAAAGUUUAUAAUAUAA